CAGCAGCCGCGGUAAUACGUAGGGUGCGAGCGUUAAUCGGAAUUACUGGGCGUAAAGCGUGCGCAGGCGGUUCGUUAAGACAGAUGUGAAAUCCCCGGGCUCAACCUGGGAACUGCAUUUGUGACUGGCAAGCUAGAGUAUGGCAGAGGGGGGUGGAAUUCCGCGUGUAGCAGUGAAAUGCGUAGAUAUUGGGAAGAACACCGGUGGCGAAGGCGGCGACCUGGUCCUUGACUGACGCUGAGGCGCGAAAGCGAGGGGAGCAGACAGGAUUAGAUACCCGCGUAGUCCCUGUCUCUUAUAA
rnacentral:rRNA from 1 species